CAGUUUGGGCAUUUCAAAUCUGAAUGUAAACAAAAAGUUAUCCAAAUAAACAGAUCAAUCAGCAGAAAGUGAAGAAAAACAAUGGCUUUUCCGUUGUUUUCUGGAGUGGGAAUUACAGUUAUUACAGUUAACAAGACUUGGAUAGCGGCGCAAGCGCCCAAAUGAGAACAGAUGUAGGUAAAUAUGAUUGAAAAUAAUCUCAUCCAACGAGCAUCAAGGAGAUUGUGGCAGCAAACCAAAGUGCCAUGCCAGUAUUGUAUUCGGGUGAUCUUGGCUAUUUUUUCGGGAAUGCCACCGCUGCCCCCGGGCCAUGCCUCUAUAAUGAGAAGAUGUUUAUUGGUGCCGGCGCUAUAUCCAGUAAACAGUCGCCCAUAGAGCAAGAAAUCGCAUUGCGAUAAUGGAGAUGGAUCGGUCACACUAUAAGAAGGGGAGCCGAUAACAUGGCAAGCAUCGCUUUCGAGUGGAAACUGCUAGGAGGCCAUCGGAGACGCGGUCGCCCUGUGCACACAUGGCGGCGCACAGUGGACGGCGAGCUGCGAGCGCAAGGCCUGAGCUGGACGGAGGCCAGAGCGGUUGCUGAGGACAGGACGGCGUGGCGCACUCUCGUGAAGGCCCUCUGUACCACUGGGGUACCUUAGGACGACAACACCAUAAUGCAGAUCACCUGGGUGAAGAUGACGAUGCAACAUGUGACGACAGGAGUUCCUGUCAAAAUCUUUGAUAGUGCGCGUCUUCUUCUUGGCGUCCUAUGACCCCCCGUGGGGGAAAGGGCAGACACAACGGUUCUCCAUCUCAGUCUGUCGACGGCAGCGAGCUUCACGUGGUCCGAGCCACGUCAUCUCCGCGUCCUGCAUCUCGUCAUGAAAGUGUGCAUCACUGAAAAUAUAAUUCCUAAAUGGCCAUUAGAAUUGAAUUACGUUCACCCUAGAUAACACAGUACACAGUCAUGCAUGCACUAUAAUACCACAAUAUAUUAUAAUAUAAUGAGCUCUUACUUAAAAGAGCUAUGAUAUAAGUAAAGCUAUCGAUGUUAUUUGUCACACCAGAGUAAAAGUUCUUACUGUACCUUAGUUAAUGAAAAAUAAAUAAAUAAUGAUUAUUAUUAAUAAGCACACUAUACAGAAUUCUUGAAUCAGAAUAUAGGCUAAGAAUUUUGUAAGAAAAAAAAAAAAAAAUUUAGAAAUACCAUUGUGAUCUUAAUCAUACCUACUUAUAACAAUAAUAAACAAUAUAAAAUAAUUUAACAUGAUUGUGUUGAUGUAGUUUCUAAUGUGUAUUUGUAUAAAAUAAAAUAAAUUUGUCUUGG